GGCCCCGUAGCUCAGCUGGAUAGAGCACCGGUUUCCUAAACCGGGUGUCGCAUGUUCGAGUCAUGCCGGGGUCGCCA
rnacentral:tRNA from 1 species